GACGAACGCUGGCGGCGUGCUUAACACAUGCAAGUCGAACGGAAAGGCGCUGCGUUUGUGGGGUGCUCGAUUGGCGAACGGGUGAGUAACACGUGAGUAACCUGCCCUUGUCUUUGGGAUAACUUCAGGAAACUGGGGCUAAUAUCGGGUAGGAUCUCCUGCUGCAUGUGGGGGGUUGGAAAGUUUCGGCGGUUGGGGAUGGACUCGCGGCUUAUCAGCUGGUUGGUGGGGUAGGGGCUUACCAAGGCUUUGACGGGUAGCCGGCCUGAGCGGGUUACCGGCCACAUUGGGCCUGCGAUACGGCCCAGACUCCUACGGGCGGCAGCAGUGGGGAAUAUUGCACAAUGGGCGGAAGCCUGAUGCAGCAACCCCGCGUGCGGGAUGCUGGGUUUCGGGUUGUAAACCGCUUUCGACUGUGCCGAAGAGUGCGUGACGGUAAUGGGUAAAGAAGCCCCGGCUAACUACGUG
rnacentral:rRNA from 1 species